AUGGACAACCACGGUGAUAUGUGCUACUACAGCGGCGGCGGCAUGGGCGCCGCGGCCGACCCCUCCUGCUCCUCCACCUCCUUGUCGUCCAUUGACUCGUUUCUAUCCGACUUGAGCGGCGGCGAGAUGAUCGACGAGGAAAUAAGGAGUCAGCCCAAGAGGCCAGCAGCCUCGGCGUUCAUCGGCGUGCGCGCGCGGCCGUGGGGACGGUUUGCGGCGGAGAUCCGGGACUCGACGCGGGGCGGCGCGCGGGUGUGGUUGGGCACGUUUGCCACGGCCGAGGCCGCCGCCAUGGCCUACAACAAGGCGGCGCUCUCGUCACGGGGCGCGGCCACGGCGCUCGAUUUCCCUCUGGAGCGCGUCCAGGAGUCGCUCCAGGCACUUGGCACUACCAUGACAGGCAUAGGCGGAUCGCCCGUGCUGGCGCUCAAAUGGCGCCACUCCAAGAGAAGAAGGCGCAGCAAGGCCGAGAUAGCGAAAGACGCGGCGACAUGCGUGAGGAGGAGCAAGGUCAUAGCCAAGCAGCAGCAGUUCAUCGUGGAGCUGGAGGACAUCGGCGUCGACUACCUGGAUGAGCUUCUCAGGAUCACGUGUAACACUACUUAG
rnacentral:rRNA from 1 species